rnacentral:lncRNA from 1 species
AAAUUAAUAAAGUUCAUAUAUAAGUAUGUGGUACAGCUCACACCGAUUAAUAUAUUAGCAUAUUCAUAGAAUUGAUCUAACUCAUGCAAAUAAACCUUUCAAUUAUGAAUUCUUAUAAGCUGAUUUUAAAGCACAUAAUAUAGGAGAUAUGGGAUAUAAUUCAAUUUGACGGCAACCAAACGACAAAAACACCAUAUAGGUAAAUCAAGACCGCAUGUUUAGUCUUCAACAAGAAACAUGUGUCUACACGAAAUGCCAAAGUCUUAAAUCGUCAUGAAUUUGUA